rnacentral:lncRNA from 1 species
UCGAUUGGAUAAUUUAAUCGACGAUUUACCAACCGAUUAAUUUACCCAAAAGCAUUAAGUCCUAGAUUAAAAGUGAUUAUCAAAUAUUAACAUCCAUGUCUAGAGUGAUAACUUAAGAUAGAUUGUUAUUCUAUUUCUAGAUUCAAAAGUAUGUGUCCAUAUCAUUUUGAAUCUCAAUAAAACAAUAAAAGCAAGAAUAACAACAAUAUUGAAUAAAUUGCUAGAACCAUAUAUUAAAUGAUCAAAAGAUUACAUAAUAGCUUGUUUGAAUACCUCAAAACCAC